rnacentral:misc_RNA from 1 species
GAUUCUUUCUUGGCAAUUUCUUGGCCAUUAUUAAUUAUAGAACUGCCAAGUGUAAUCCCAUUAGGAGUCCUUGUAGGGUUUGAGGAUGAAUUAUACCUUGAGAAAGCUGAAAGAUCUGAUCUUCUCAAAACACUAAAAUCAUCUUGAGCACCUUUUUCGGGUACUUUUACCGUUUGAAAACUUGGCUCUUUAGAUUCACCAAUGGAUAAAUUAUUGAUUUCUAAUAACUGCACAGCUUUGUUCAACCUUCUACUGUUGGUCCGAGGAUGAGCUGUCUCAGCAGUCACAUCAUGAUAUUCUGUCGAUGGAACAUUACCAUCUAGACUUUCCUGGUGUUCAUCCAUCUUCAAACUGCUUGGGUUGGAAUUUAUUGCCAGCAGGGUCUUAUGUUCUGCAUCAACAAGUUCGACUGGAACCUGAAUUGCAUUUUCAGGUUGUAACUUCUGAUUUCUAGGUAUGCCCUUGAGGGAGGGUUUUUUU